AUAUAUAUAUGAAUAUGAGAUUAUGGCGCUCCCACAUUCCUGAGCCAGCAACCCAUAUUGUCCCUGGAUAUGUUGCCCUGGCUUGUCUCUGGAUCAUGUCAGUAGGGUUGAGAAGAUCUGUGAGGUACUGUGCAAGUCUUAUUGGACCUAAAAUUUUAGGUUGUGCAGUCACCAGCAAGGCAACUUUCUGAUGCCCAGUCAACAAGGAAGGUGCUGUGGUGAGCAUGGAAACCGCUGGUAUGAACACAGUGAAGAAAACCGCAGUGCAGUAACCUCAUGCAUGGGCAUUGCUGGCAUUUUGCACAGGCAAUGGUCAGUGAUGGUCUUCCUCGGUCACAACUGAAUAGCCAUCAUCAUCAUGUAUUAUGUAUGUAUGUGUAUGUAUAUAUACACACAUUGACACAAACAUAUAUUGCUAUUUCUAAGUUUAUAAAGUAUGCAUAUACAUGUAUAUAUUUAUAUGUAUGCACAUUUCCAUAAAUGUGUGUGUGUAUGUAUAUAUGUAUGUAUAUUAUAUAUAUAUAUAUAUGUAUAUGUAUAUAUACACACACAAACAUACAUACACACGCAUUCACACACACAUAUAUAAAACAUGUGGUAUAUAUUUAUGCAUGUGUGUAUACCUAUAUAUUUGUAUAUGUAGAUACAUAUUUUGUGUGUAUGCAUAUUUUGUGUCUCUCUCUUAUGCACUCUCUCUCUCUCUCUCUCUCUCUCUCAUAUGCUUCUAUGUAAGUAUAUAAAAUAAAAUUGCUCUCAAAUGACUAUGAUCCUUACAGACAAAUGUGUAUCCAACAAUUUAGUAGAUCCCAACUUUAAAACUUCCGGGCCUCUUUCCUCUUCAGUACAUUCAGAACAUAUAUAUAUGUUCUGCCACACACACACACACACACACACACACACUCUCUCUCUCUCUCUCUCUCUCUCUCUCUCUCUCUCUCUCUCUCUCUCUCUCUCUCUCUCUCUCUCUCUCUCUCUCUCUCUCUCUCUCUCUCUCUCUCUCUCUCUCUCUCUCUCUCUCUCUCUCUCUUGUGAGCUGUAUUCUCUCUGAAGGGGUUUAUAAACACCUAAAUCAUUUUUCAGCAAAUCUAGAUAUUUUCUGAUACAAGGAGCAUUCUGCUACUUAGUAAGUUACAGUGUAUGCACAUACACGCACAUGUGCAUGCGUACACACAAACACACACAUUGUUUUUGUUGAUUUCUCUUUUAUUGUUUUUUUAUAUAUAAAAACAAAAAUAGUAAAAAAAAAACUAUAUGAACAUAAAUAUGUAUGUGUGGGUGGGUGCAUGCUUACAUGUGUAAAGAUGUAAUAGUGUGUGUGUGUAUGUGAGCUGGUGUAUAUAAUUUCUAUGCACAUAUAUACAUAUAUUAUAAAUUUUUUACAUACGCACACAAACAUGUAUGUGUGUAUAUAUACACAUAUAUAUACAUACACACAUGCACACACAAACCUGCAAAUAUAUAUAUAUAUAUAUAUAUAUAUAUAUAUGGGCAUUUACACUUUGAUAUAUUUAUAUACAUACACACAUUCUGACAUAUGUAUGUGUAUAUAUAUUUGUGUUUCCCCUCCCCUUUUUUCCCAUGUGCCUCUAACAGUUUAUAUUUACAAAGACACUGUAUUUUUUAACUAUCUUUUACCAAUCUGCCUCUACUGCAACUCUGCUCCAUUUCUAUUUUACCUCUACUGCAUUUCUGCUCCAUUUCUUGUAUGUCUCUUCUGCAUCUCUGCUCUAUUUCCAGUAUGUCUCUAAAUUGUUUGUUUCAGCUUUGCUUCAUUUUUACUUUAUGUACUUACUGCCAUGCUGCUCUGCUGUCCACUGCAUCUUAUUUCCACAUCUGCUCCUGUGUAGAAGCUGCAAUUCCUUCAUCAGUGUAUCUCUAUAUAUCUAAUUUCUUUACUCUUUUGGCUGCUGUAGGGCUGCAGAUUUUCUGCUCUAUUUCUAUUCCAUUUUCACUUCCAUCUAACUCAGAUACUCGCACAUAUUCAUAGAUGCACAUAUUUACAUACAUACGUAUACACACACACACACAUACACAAGCAUGUGCAUGGAUCCCCUCAUUUAUGCAUACAAGCAUGCAUACACACAUUGGAGGAUAAUCUCUAUUGUAAUUAUGAGAUAUUUAUUUUAUCAUACAAAUCUUAUAUCCUUAACAGAAUCAGAAGCUAAUUAUCUUCUCAACUAAACACAUCCCCACAAUAUAUCCUAUUGUCUUCUGAAACCUAUUCAGCAAACCUAGUUGUAUUGGUGGUUUCCCUAGCUGUACUGGUGAUGUACCUAGUGGUAGUGAUGAUGUUCCUUGUUUUAUCAGUGGUGUAUUUAGCUGCAGCAAUAACAUACUUUUCUACACUAUUGUGUAGUUCAUGAACCUCUUGUUGUUCUACGCACUACUGCUAAUGCACCUAGCCUUGUUGGUUGUGUACUCUAUGUACAUCAUUCCACUGUAACUUCAUAUGUUUCAAAGCUUAAUACUUCCUCCUUUAAGUUGAAUUCACCAGCAAUGGUUUCACUCUCCUCUUCUCCAGUCUAAUUUACACAUUUUAAUUCUACUAAAUGACUUAUCUGUGGAAGAGAGCUGCAAUCUUAACCACACUAAGUUUAAAAGUUGAUCUAAUCAUAGUUUAAUUAUUCCUAACCCACCAGUCAUUUCAACACUCAGCUCUGACUUACCCACUAUCAUUUCAACUACUACAUCCUCCCUACUAACUAAGGUGAACAUUUUUAGUUUCAUACUUUUGAUGUUGGUAAAUGCAGGUUCUCAGCAGCCCACAUCUCCUUUCAAUUGUGGAUUACGCACUCAAGUUGACACCUCCACUGAAGUGAAGGUUGGCUAUCCACCAUUGUUGACCUUACUGGAGAACAUCUCUUCUCAGCUGUAUGUACCCAGAUUUGUUAAAAUCACUAGAUGACACCUCCACUCAGCUAUGUAUCCAGUGUUGACUUCACUACAACACACCUCCACUCAAGUGGGUUACUUAUGCUCAAUCUCCUCACUAGAUGAUUCAUCCUCUUCGUUGAGUGUUAUCCACAUAAAUGUCACCAGUCAGCCUUACCUCCACCAAUUGCCCCAUCUCAUUCCAUGAAUUGUAAACCCUUUUCUGAUUUCUUUUUUACCUCCAAUUUGAUAAAGGUUGUCCACUUUCUCCCAGUAUAUACUAUUGUGGCUUCUCUGCAGCCAAGAUAUUUCCAUCGAUCAAGAAUCUCAUCGCUUCUCUCUUUUUAUCUGUCCUAUACCACACUCUGACAUAAACACACAACAUAUGUACACAUUCACACACACACUUACAUAUAUGCUUGUAUAUAUGUUUGUGUGUGUGUGCAUGCAUAUAUGUAUGUAUAUAUGUGUGUGUGUACAUAUAUAUACGCAUACAGACAUGUAUAUGCAUAUAUAUAUAUAUAUAUAUACACAGACGAGCAUGCAUACAUACACACACACACAUACACACACACACACACACACACACACACGUAUACAUGUGUGUGUGUGUCUGUAUUUCAUAGCUGACAUUUAAUUACAGUGUUCCACAGACAUAUAAAGUUUCUCUUCUCUUCCUCCAAGCCACCACAAAAUCUCCACACUAAUUCUUUAAAUGAAGUUGAAAAAAUUUUUUUAAAUGAAAACGAAAAAACAAGCCUCUUUUUUUUACAUCGUAUAAAAGGUUAAAAUUUGGUUGUUAACUUUAUUAUUUUUACCAGUUUUUAUUGUCUUUUCUCAGAUUUUUUUUACCCCAAUCUUUUUAGUUUUUGCCAUCUCAAAGACAAUUUUCUGUUCAAUUUUUAAACUUUUUUCCAAUAAAUAAAUUAAAAUAAAUAAAAAAUAAUAAAAUAUCUGAAA
rnacentral:lncRNA from 1 species